UUAAAUUUAUUUUUUUAUUAUUUGAUAUUGCAUAUCAUUAAAAAAGAAUUUUAUGGUUAAUAAAAAAUAGAAUAAAAAGGUAGAGGUUUUAUUUUUUUUAUUGUUUUAUAAAUAAAAAUUAUGAAAUUUAGGGUUGAAAAGUCGACUUUUUAGAUAUCUGUUUUUUUUUAGUUUAAUUAGAAAUUUAUUAAUUUUAAUUAUAUAUUUUUAUAAAAUUUAAAAUUUAAAGUGUUUUUGUUUUUAGUUUUAUAACUAUUUAUAAUAUGUAUUUUUUGUUUUUUGUUUUGCUUAAUAAAAUUUUAUUAAGUUUAUUAUUUUUAAAUUAGUAGAUUUUUUAAUUUUAUUAUUAAUUAAAAUAUAAAUAAAGAAUUAAAAGUUUAAUCAAAUGUUUUUUAAAGACUUAGAUUUUUUAAUAAAGUUUGCUUCUGCCCAAUGAUGUAUUAUUAAAUGGCAGUCUUAGCGUGAGGACAUUAAGGUAGCAAAAUAAUUUGUGCCUUUAUUAGGUUCCAGUAUGAAUGAAGUUAUUGGUUAAUUAUUUUUUAUUUUUUUUUUUGAAUUUUUUAUUAAUAUAAAAAAUUUUUAUUGUAAUUAUACAAAGAUAAGUCUUCGGAAAUUCUUUUUAAAUUUAAUUUUUUUGAUUAUUUUUAAAAUUUUCUAGGGCAGAAUUUUAUAUAAUUAUUUAUAUCUAUUAAUAAAUUUUUGAAUUACUCCGGAGUUAACAGAAAAUCAUACCUAAUUUAGAUCUUAUAAUAAGGUAAGUUUUACAUCGAUGUUGUAUUUAAGUAUGUUAAAGAAGGAGAAGAUUUAAUUUUUGAGACUGUUCUUCUUUUAUUUAACUUAACGUGAUAUUAGUUUAAUUCAUUGUGAGAUAGAAUUGUUUAUCUUGUUAAUUACUUUUUUUUAGUUUUAAUAGUACGAAAGGAAAAUUAAAAAAAGUUUUAAACUUUAUUGGUUAUACCAA
rnacentral:rRNA from 1 species